UGCCAGCCGCCGCGGUAAUACGGAGGGAGCGAGCGUUAAUCGGAAUUACUGGGCGUAAAGCGCGCGUAGGCGGCUUUGUAAGUCGGAUGUGAAAGCCCAGGGCUCAACCCUGGAAUUGCAUUCGAUACUGCAUGGCUAGAGUAUGGUAGAGGGAAGUGGAAUUUCCGGUGUAGCGGUGAAAUGCGUAGAUAUCGGCAGGAACACCAAAUGCGAAGGCAACUUACUAGUACACUUCUGACGCUGAUGAACGAAAGCGUGGGUAGCGAAUGGGAUUAGAUA
rnacentral:rRNA from 1 species